UUCUUUUUUAUUUUUUAUUUUCUUAUUUGUUUACUUUUUAUUAUUUUUUCCCUUUUGUUUUCUUUUGUGUUCUUAGAGAGGGAUACACAUGCAUUCAAGUCAAGAUUUACUAUCUACGUGGUGCUUUUUAGUGUAUUCACCGUUCUUCUCUUCCAAUAAUUGUUCUCCACCUACCUAUUCUCCACCGCUUCCCACCUGAUAGAUUUUUGAAGCCAUCGAAAAUGACUAUACCAUUUAGAAAUUCAUAUUUCGUCCCUCUACAACAUCUCUUACACAUUCUACCACAACCACUUCCACCACCAUCGUCGCCCCCUUCUACCCUUCCGCCAAAUAAUACCCACCUCCUCCAACUGAUUCUUUUUAAUCCUAUAAAUUGCAGAACAAUCGCUAUCUCCCUCUCUGUCUCACAUAAAAACCCCUAAUCUCUCCUGUCUCGCUCUUCCUAUAUCACUGAAGAUAUGGUGAAAUUUCAGCAGCUCUUUCAAGUUUGUUAUUAGAUUGAUUGGAUUUGAGUAAAAAUUUGGCCUCAGGUAUGUUAUAACACUGUCGAUGAUUUAAUUUCAGUUCCGCACUUUUUUGUAAUGAAGCACACCUCCAGCCAUUCUCCAUCUUCAUUUUUUUCGAUCCAUGGUUUUAUCGGAUUGGGGCUAAUCGGUUUCAAUCUGAAUCGAAACAAUCAAUAUCGUGUCGUCCCUCUAUCUACUUCUUUUUUCAUCUAGAAACCCUUUUCUCUAAUUGUUUAUCUGUGUGUUUAUAGGUCCUGAAAUUGAUUGCUUCGAUACUUGCUUCCACUGCCUUAAUACUUACCAUCGCUUUAGAUAUUUGUUUCUCGCUUAGUUCACAGGUUCCCUGGUGAUGCCGCUUGCUUUGAAAAAUUAAGCGAAUGCCUAUUUAAUGUAUGUUAUCUCAUUUGUUUUCUUUAUUGGGUACAUUCAAAUGAUAGUUAUUAUUAAAAUUGCUACUGGUAUAACCUCAAUUGUGGUAUGAUAUUAUAUGCGUAAGGGUGGCAGUUGUCUCAUUGCAAUGGGAUUUGAUCUGCUGGAGGCGCUGUCAUGGGUUCAGGUGAACCUUCGAUUUUCUUGAGGCCUAAACUCAAGAACACAUCACAUUGUGGUGAUCUGACCUCAAUUCCAUGUAAAUAGGAUAGCUCCAACUCCAAAGAAUUUGCAUCAGCUUCCUUUACCCACAGAUGAGGUUGUUGUGAAGAUGUUGUUCCUAUUGAAUUCAAGGUGUUCAUAGUAAUUUCACAUGUAAAAAAAUCUCCAUGAAAUAUUUAUCACAAAGUAAGUUGCUAUUUUUUUGUCAGGAUUGUAUUGUUGGAUGCGAUCCAAGUCAACAUGGUUAUCGUUCAGGAAAUGAUCAAUUACGAGUUCUACUUAUCAACACCAUGAGUUUGAAUGACCACGGAUAUGUCAUAUGAAAAAACAUACUUUUGCAGAAAUCAGAGGAAAAUAAAAAAAAGUUGUUGCUAAAA